GGCAUAGUUCAGUGGUAGAGCGUCUGCUCUGCUUGCAGAAGGCUCCAGGUUCAAUCCUCAGUAUCUCCA